AGAACGAACGCUGGCGGCAUGCCUAACACAUGCAAGUCGAACGCUUUGCCGGUUUCGGCCGGCAAGGAGUGGCGCACGGGUGAGUAGCGCGUGGGAACCUGCCCUGUUGUGGGGGAUAACCGAGGGAAACUUCGGCUAAUACCGCAUAAGCCGGUUGUCUUGAAAGAGAUGGCCGGGAAAGAUUUAUCGCGACAGGAGGGGCCCGCGUCGGAUUAGCUAGUUGGCGGGUAACGGCCCACCAAGGCUGUGAUCCGUAGCUGGUCUGAGAGGAUGAUCAGCCACACUGGGACUGAGACACGGCCCAGACUCCUACGGGAGGCAGCAGUGGGGAAUAUUGGACAAUGGGCGCAAGCCUGAUCCAGCAAUGCCGCGUGAGUGAUGAAGGCCUUAGGGUUGUAAAGCUCUUUCGCCCGCGACGAUGAUGACGGUAGCGGGAGAAGAGCCCGGCUAACUUCGUGCCAGCAGCCGC
rnacentral:rRNA from 1 species